GCCUAACCGUAAACUUUAACUUACACCUCAAUCGCCCGGGAACUACGAGCCAAGCUUAAAACCCAAAGGACUUGACGGUACCCCAAAUCCACCUAGAGGAGCCUGUCCUAUAAUCGAUAACCCCCGCUUAACCUCACCAUUCUUUGUUUAUCAGCCUGUAUACCUCCGUCGCCAGCUUACCGCGUGAGCGCCAUUAAGUGAGCUUAAUGCCCAUACGCCAACACGUCAGGUCAAGGUGCAGCUAAUGAAAUGGGAAGAGAUGGGCUACACUUUCUACUGUAGAAAAAACGAAAGACUACCUAUGAAACCUAGUCAGAAGGAGGAUUUAGUAGUAAAAAGAAAGUAGAGUGUUCUUUUUAAUCCGGCACUGGGGUGUGUACACACCGCCCGUCACCCUCUUCAAGGCCCAAUCAAAGUACAUAACUAAACUUUGCCACAUAGAAGAGGCAAGUCGUAACAUGGUAAGUAUACCGGAAGGUGUGCUUGGAAA
rnacentral:rRNA from 1 species